GUCGUCGUAUACUUCAGGUGCUCUUCCAUCUUGAUGAUAAAUAUUGAGCCUAGCCGGAUACCGCAGGGUGUGAUUCCUCCAUCACGCAGUUUGCAGUACAUCACGAAAGAUAUCAAGUCAACUUCAUUGGUGCCUGUUGCAGCAUUCUAGGAUAAGAGGCAAAUAUUAGUGUCGUCACGAAGAAAGCAUGACAGCGCCUCUACUUUCUUCGAAGUUUGCGAAGAUUCGGCAUGCCAUCUAAAUGUGAGGUGGAGAGUAUAUUGACUGGUUGCACCAUCGCCUGGUAUGGAAACAACUAUGCCCUUGAACGGAAAAGCUAACAAAAGGUUGAAAUGCAGGGCAGAUUGUUAGGAUA